rnacentral:rRNA from 1 species
GAUGAACGCUGGCGGCGUGCCUAAUACAUGCAAGUCGAGCGAACAGACGAGGAGCUUGCUCCUCUGACGUUAGCGGCGGACGGGUGAGUAACACGUGGAUAACCUACCUAUAAGACUGGGAUAACUUCGGGAAACCGGAGCUAAUACCGGAUAAUAUAUUGAACCGCAUGGUUCAAUAGUGAAAGACGGUUUUGCUGUCACUUAUAGAUGGAUCCGCGCCGCAUUAGCUAGUUGGUAAGGUAACGGCUUACCAAGGCAACGAUGCGUAGCCGACCCGAGAGGUUGAUCGGCCACACUGGAACUGAGACACGGUCCAGACUCCUACGGGAGGCAGCAGUAGGGAAUCUUCCGCAAUGGGCGAAAGCCUGACGGAGCAACGCCGCGUGAGUGAUGAAGGUCUUCGGAUCGUAAAACUCUGUUAUUAGGGAAGAACAAAUGUGUAAGUAACUAUGCACGUCUUGACGGUACCUAAUCAGAAAGCCACGGCUAACUACGUG